UAGGGAAUCUUCCGCAAUGGGCGAAAGCCUGACGGAGCAACGCCGCGUGAGUGAUGAAGGUCUUUGGAUCGUAAAACUCUGUUAUUAGGGAAGAACAAAUGUGUAAGUAACUAUGCACGUCUUGACGGUACCUAAUCAGAAAGCCACGGCUAACUACGCGCCAGCAGCCGCGGUAAUACGUAGGUUGCCAGCGUUAUCCGGAAUUAUUGGGCGUAAAGCGCGAGUAGGCGGUUUUUUAAGUCUGAUGUGAAAGCCCACGGCUCAACCGUGAAGGGUCAUUGGAAACGGGAAAACUUGAGUGCAGAAGAGGAAAGUGGAAUUCCAUGUGUAGCGGUGAAAUGCGCAGAGAUAUGGAGGAACACCAGUGGCGAAGGCGACUUUCUGGUCUGUAACUGACGCUGAUGUGCGAAAGCGUGGGGAUCAAACAGG
rnacentral:rRNA from 1 species